rnacentral:tRNA from 1 species
GUACCCUUAGCUCAGUUGGUUAGAGCAGACGGCUCAUAACCGUCCGGUCGUAGGUUCGAGUCCUGCGGGGUACG